rnacentral:lncRNA from 1 species
UGUGCACGAAGCACGCACAGGUGUGUGCACAGAAGUGCACACGAGCCCGCGGGUGUGCGUGCACGCACAUGUGUGCAUGGCGUCUGCUUGGAGGGCUGUGGUCUGUUCUGUCCAGUCUCACGCCCCGAACCCAGGGGCCGCCCUGGGAGACUCGCCUCCCUCCCUGGCAGGUGUCUGGGAGCUGGGGAAGGAAAUCCCGGAAACCCGCUUCCGCUUGGCUCUCUUCCUCAGUCUCCUCACAUGUUUCUUCUCCAGGACUUGAAGCAUUCUCUCUCUUCCUUCCUUGGACACACCUACUCGGAGGCUCCUGGCCCCGGGAGGCCCCCAGCGGAGCUGGAGGAGGGCCCAGCACCAGGGGUGGGUGAGAUGCCAGCACCCCCUUGGAGAUCAGAACUGCUAGUCGGGUCAGCUGACCCCAUCUCUGGCCACCUGAGUGACCCUCCUGGGGGACUGGACCUGGAGCUUGGGCUCCUCGGGUGCCAGCGUCACUGCUCUGGUCUCCCCAGUCUGCCCAGAGCCCCCUAAAGCCCACCGUGUGCUCAGCCAUGGGACUCCUCAUCCGAAGCCUCCGAGCCCUCCUUUUCCCAUCCCUCCACCACCCGGCCCGCUGGUACCAGAGCUGCCCUGCAGGACAAGCCUCAGCCUGGGCCACAGGCAAGGCCGCUUGACUCAGCAGUCCCUGCUGUGCCCACAGCCGGCGGGGAGGUUGCAGGUGCCUCCCCUCCCUGCCCAGGCAUCAAGUCACAGGGCUUGAAUACUUCCCAGGACAGGGAGCUCAUCAGCCCCAGGCAGCAGCCUGCCCCAGGCAGAAACGCUUCGACUUCCGAGACAAGUCCUUUGUGAUGAACUGACACCUGAACACCGGUUAAUUCCAUCUGUUUACACAUUUUCGUCAUCCGCAUCAUUAUUAAUACUGUCUACAUACCAGCACACUGCAGUAUGUCAGCGAAUCCUUCACCACUUGUGGAGCUGGGGCCUGUC